rnacentral:rRNA from 1 species
GAUGAACGCUAGAUACAGGCUUAACACAUGCAAGUCGAGGGACGGGCGCACGGGUGAGUAACACGUAUCCCACCUGCCCUUUACUCGGGGAUAGCCUUUCGAAAGAAAGAUUAAUACCCGAUAGAAAGGAUGGGGAUGCGUUCAAUUAGGUUGUUGGUGAGGUAACGGCCCACCAAGACUUCGAUGGUUAGGGGUUCUGGGAGGAAGGUCCCCUGCAGUUGAACGGAGUCCCGGUCCAAACUCAUACGGGAGGCAGCAGUGAGGAAUAUUGUUCACUGGGCGGUAGCCUGAACCAGCCACGUAGCGUGAAGGAUGAAGGCUUAUGGGUCGUAAUCUUCUUUUAUAUAAUAAUAUGUAUUAUAUGAAUAAGUAUCGACUAACUCCGUGCCAGCAGCCGCGGUAAUUC